rnacentral:rRNA from 1 species
UACGAAGGGUGCAAACGUUGCUCGGAAUUAUUGGGCGUAAAGCGCACGUAGGCGGAUUCUUAAGUCAGGGGUGAAGUCCUGGAGCUCAACUCCAGAACUGCCUUUGAUACUGGGAAUCUCGAGUCCGGGAGAGGUGAGUGGAACUGCGAGUGUAGAGGUGAAAUUCGUAGAUAUUCGCAAGAACACCAGUGGCGAAGGCGGCUCACUGGCCCGGUACUGACGCUGAGGUGCGAAAGCGUGGGGAGCAAACAGG